UUAAGCGAAUAAGCGUACACGGUGGAUGCCUAGGCAAUCAGAGGCGAUGAAGGACGUGCUAAUCUGCGAAAAGCGUCGGUAAGGUGAUAUGAACCGUUAUACCCGACGAUAUCCGAAUGGGGAAACCCAGUAUCCAAUGGAUACUAUCAUUAACUGAAUCCAUAGGUUAAUGAGGCGAACCGGGAGAACUGAAACAUCUCAGUACCCCGAGGAAAAGAAAUCAACCGAGAUUCCCCUA
rnacentral:rRNA from 1 species